CCGAGUUUACAACUCCCAAACCCCUGUGAACAUACCUAUCGUUGCUUCGGCGGAUCCGCCCCGGCGCCCUCGGGCCCGGAUCAGGCGCCCGCCGGAGACCCCAAACUCUUGUAUUUCUUUAGUAUCUUCUGAGUAAACAAGCAAAUAAAUUAA
rnacentral:misc_RNA from 1 species